UUCGGGGGGUGCGAGCGUUGUCCGGAAUCACUGGGCGUAAAGGGCGCGUAGGUGGCGAGGCAAGCGUGCGGUGAAAGCUCGGGGCUCAACCCCGAGUCGGCCGUGCGAACUGCUUUGCUUGAGCACUGUAGAGGCAGAUGGAAUUCCGGGUGUAGCGGUGGAAUGCGUAGAGAUCCGGAAGAACACCGGUGGCGAGGGCGGUCUGCUGGGCAGUUGCUGACACUGAGGCGCGACAGCGUGGGGAGCAAACAGG
rnacentral:rRNA from 1 species